CUUGUCGUAAAUUGAUUUCUCAGAUCUAUUUUCCCGCUAGGCAGCCUGACAAUCGGCUCCCGAGAGAAAGCUCCAUUUGAGGGAAGAAGCGGCAGAUUCUUUGAGAAGUGGGAAAACCCAGUAUGGAGUGAAGGAUUUCUCCAAGAGUAGAAGUCAGCCACCCAGACAGCUCUCUCAGGUGAAGGAUGUCCCCGCUGCUGCACUCAGCAAGUUCAUGCUUA
rnacentral:lncRNA from 1 species